rnacentral:rRNA from 1 species
CGGUGUUCAACUGGCGUGUCCGCGGGACGUCCUGCCGGUGGGCUUAGCCCGCAAGGGCGGCCCAACUUCAAAUCCCAUCGCGGUGCUCUUCACUGAGUGUCGAGGUGGGCCGGCACGUUUACUUUGAACAAAUUAGAGUGCUUAAAGCAGGCUAAAACUUCCCCUGAAUACUGUGUGCAUGGAAUAAUGGAAUAGGACCUCGGUUCUAUUUUGUUGGUUUUCGGAACCCCGAGGUAAUGAUUAAUAGGAACGGAUGGGGGCAUUCGUAUUGCGACGUUAGAGGUGAAAUUCUUGGAUCGUCGCAAGACGGACAGAAGCGAAAGCAUUUGCCAAAAACGCUUUCAUUGAUCAAGAACGAAAGUUAGAGGUUCGAAGGCGAUCAGAUACCGCCCUAGUUCUAACCAUAAACGAUGCCAGCUAGCGAUCCGUCGACGUUCCUCCGAUGACUCGACGGGCAGCUUCCGGGAAACCAAAGCUUUUGGGUUCCGGGGGAAGUAUGGUUGCAAAGCUGAAACUUAAAGGAAUUGACGGAAGGGCACCACCAGGAGUGGAGCCUGCGGCUUAAUUUGACUCAACACGGGAAACCUCACCAGGCCCGGACACCGGAAGGAUUGACAGAUUGAGAGCUCUUUCUUGAUUCGGUGGGUGGUGGUGCAUGGCCGUUCUUAGUUGGUGGAGCGAUUUGUCUGGUUAAUUCCGAUAACGAACGAGACUCUAGCCUGCUAACUAGGCGUAUUUUCGACAUCUCAAAGGUCCGUCGUCCCGGCCCUCGGGUCGUGGGCGUGCGCGAUUUUUACUGUCGGCGUACUAUCAAUUCUUCUUAGAGGGACAGGUGGCUUCUAGCCGCACGAGAUUGAGCAAUAACAGGUCUGUGAUG